ACUCAAAUGAAUUGACGGGGGCCCGCACAAGCAGUGGAGUAUGUGGUUUAAUUCGAAGCAACGCGAAAAACCUUACCAGGGCUUGACAUAUAUAUGAAAAGUACAGAAAUGUAUAAUACCUUUGGGACAUAUAUACAGGUGGUGCAUGGUUGUCGUCAGCUCGUGUCGUGAGAUGUUGGGUUAAGUCCCGCAACGAGCGCAACCCCUGUUGUUAGUUGCUAACAAGUAAAGUUGAGCACUUUAACAAGACUGCCGGUGAUAAAUCGGAGGAAGGUGGGGAUGAUGUCAAAUCAUCAUGCCCUUUAUGUCCUGGGCUACACACGUACUACAAUGGCUGUUACAAAGUGAAACAAAGCAGUGAUGUUUAAGUGAAACACAAAAGACAGUCACAGUUCGGAUUGUAGGCUGAAAUUCGCCUACAUGAAGCCGGAAUUGCUAGUAAUUGCAGGUCAGCAUACUGCAGUGAAUACGUUCCCGGGCCUUGUACACACCGCCCGU
rnacentral:rRNA from 1 species